rnacentral:rRNA from 1 species
UACGGAGGGGGCUAGCGUUGUUCGGAAUUACUGGGCGUAAAGCGCACGUAGGCGGCUUUGUAAGUUAGAGGUGAAAGCCCGGGGCUCAACUCCGGAAUUGCCUUUAAGACUGCAUCGCUAGAAUUGUGGAGAGGUAAGUGGAAUUCCGAGUGUAGAGGUGAAAUUCGUAGAUAUUCGGAAGAACACCAGUGGCGAAGGCGGCUUCUUGGGCCGUUUCUGACGCUGAGGCGCGAAAGCCAGGGGAGCGAACGGG